rnacentral:misc_RNA from 1 species
GUGAAUCAUCAAAUUUUUGAACGCAAAUUGCGCUUCUUGGCAUACCGGGAAGUAUGCCUGUUUGAGGGUCAGUAUUAAUAAAAAACUGGGUUAGUUAUAAGUUGUGAAGUCUCCGGAGCUUGGGCUAUCUUAACAUUUUUGGUUAAGAGGCUUAAAAUUUACCUUUUUUGCGCAUUUUUUAAAGUACAUAAAUUUUUUUUCUUCGUCUAUUCUUAAUGCUAUAUUCUUAUUAGAUGUGAUAACAGCGUGUGGCUUCGGGUGAAUAAAAUUUUCAUGAUUUGACGUCAAAUCAG